rnacentral:rRNA from 1 species
GAUGAACGCUAGCGGCAGGCCUAACACAUGCAAGUCGAGGGAGAAGCCCUUUCGGGGGCAGAAACCGGCGCACGGGUGCGUAACGCGUAUGCAACCUACCUUUCACAGGGGGAUAGCCCGAAGAAAUUUGGAUUAAUACCCCAUAAUAUUAUUGGAUGGCAUCAUUUGAUAAUUAAAACUGCGGUGGUGAAAGAUGGGCAUGCGUCCUAUUAGCUAGUUGGAGUGGUAACGGCACCCCAAGGCUACGAUAGGUAGGGGUCCUGAGAGGGAGAUCCCCCACACUGGUACUGAGACAGGUACCAGACUCCUACGGGAGGCAGCAGUGAGGAAUAUUGGUCAAUGGUCGGAAGACUGAACCAGCCAUGCCGCGUGCAGGAAGAAUGCCUUAUGGGUUGUAAACUGCUUUUAUAUGGGAAGAAUAAGGCGUACGUGUACGUUGAUGACGGUACCAUAUGAAUAAGCAUCGGCUAACUCCGUG